UUGAACGCUGGCGGCAUGCUUUACACAUGCAAGUCGAGCGGUAACAGGCCUUCGGGUGCUGACGAGUGGCGAACGGGUGAGUAAUGCAUCGGAACGUACCCAGAGGUGGGGGAUAACGCAGCGAAAGCUGUGCUAAUACCGCAUGUGAUCUGAGGAUGAAAGCGGGGGACCGAGCAGCAAUGUUUGGCCUCGCGCCUUUGGAGCGGCCGAUGUCGGAUUAGCUAGUUGGUGGGGUAAAGGCCUACCAAGGCGACGAUCCGUAGCUGGUCUGAGAGGACGACCAGCCACACUGGGACUGAGACACGGCCCAGACUCCUACGGGAGGCAGCAGUGGGGAAUUUUGGACAAUGGGCGCAAGCCUGAUCCAGCAAUGCCGCGUGCGGGAAGAAGGCCUUCGGGUUGUAAACCGCUUUUGGCAGGAACGAAACGGUGUCCGCUAAUACCGGGCGCUAAUGACGGUACCUGCAGAAUAAGCACCGGCUAACUACGUG
rnacentral:rRNA from 1 species